UACGGAGGGGGCAAGCGUUAUUCGGAAUUAUUGGGCGUAAAGGGUGCGUAGGCGGUGAGGUAAGUCGGAUGUGAAAUCCCGGGGCUCAACCCCGGAACUGCAUUCGAUACUGCCUUGCUUGAGCACUGGAGAGGAGACUGGAAUUUACGGUGUAGCAGUGAAAUGCGUAGAUAUCGUAAGGAAGACCAGUGGCGAAGGCGAGUCUCUGGACAGUUGCUGACGCUGAGGCACAAAGGCCAGGGGAGCAAACGGG
rnacentral:rRNA from 1 species